CUCGUUUUCGAAUUCAUCGAGAAUGUUUCCGAUUCUGGAAAAAAUGUUUUCGAUAGCGGAAGAAAUUGCUUCCAAAAUCGAAAGCGCUUUGUUGCCUACUCUUUGAGAGUGUAGCGUGCCGCAGCCAAUGCGUUACGAACUGUCAAAAUCAGCCGCAAAGAAGGAAAACAACAAAAAAUCGGUCUCGCGUUGUUGUUGUUUUUUUUUCGACUUUGCCGCCGCCUUUUUUCGUGUAUUUUUCGAAUUUGCCGCCGCGAUUUCAGUUUAUCAAAAUACGUCUCGCUUCCCGAACCGGGCCCGCUAACUGCCAUCAUCCUACUCCGUGACCGGAACCGGUAAAUCUUCUUUUCUGCAGUGGCCCAUCCGCUGGGAAUAAAAACGUUCUGUUGCUCCAUGUUGACCGCCGCGGCCACCUCCGCUGCUGGUAAUGCCGGCCAACGUCAAAAACGGUACCUGGAAAUAGACAUUCACAAGGAGUACAAAAAGCCUCCCUUUUCGGUCCAUUCUCCCAGCCAUCGAAUCUGAACCACUCAGAAAACUCCGAUCCGCCGAACCAAGCCGGCUGCUCACCCCCGGUUGUAUGACAACGAUGAGCGAGAUAGCGAUAGCGAGAAGUCGGCCACAACGGGAAGAAUCCGCCGUUCACCUCCCGGAAGUAGACCAGGAGCUGUUUAAAAUCAGUGAGAAGAAAAUUGAGAGGAUCGCGUGGGCAAAUAACAACGGUUCCGAUCAUUUUUGGGAAAGCUGGCGGGACUGGCGGUUUCGCAAAACGAACCAGGUGGAAACUUGCCUUCUGGUGUGAUAUUAUAUUCCCAA